GACGAACGCUGGCGGCGUGCCUAAUACAUGCAAGUCGAGCGCAGGAAACUGACGGAACUCUUCGGAGGGAAGGCAGUGGAAUGAGCGGCGGACGGGUGAGUAACACGUAAGGAACCUGCCUUAAGGAUUGGGAUAACUCCGAGAAAUCGGAGCUAAUACCGGAUAGUUCAACGGACCGCAUGGUCCGCUGAUGAAAGGCGCUCCGGCGUCACCUUGAGAUGGCCUUGCGGUGCAUUAGCUAGUUGGUGGGGUAACGGCCCACCAAGGCGACGAUGCAUAGCCGACCUGAGAGGGUGAUCGGCCACACUGGGACUGAGACACGGCCCAGACUCCUACGGGAGGCAGCAGUAGGGAAUCUUCCACAAUGGACGAAAGUCUGAUGGAGCAACGCCGCGUGAGUGAUGAAGGUUUUCGGAUCGUAAAACUCUGUUGUAAGGGAAGAACACGUACGAGAGGAAAUGCUCGUACCUUGACGGUACCUUACGGGAAAGCCACGGCUAACUACGUGCCAGCCGCCGCGGUAAAAC
rnacentral:rRNA from 1 species